rnacentral:rRNA from 1 species
ACAUGCAAGCUUCAACAAACCAGUGAGAAUGCCCAUAACCCCCUAAACAGCCAACAGGAGCAGGCAUCAGGAACACCAAUGUAGCCUAAGACGCCUUGCUAUGCCACACCCACAAGGGCCUUCAGCAGUAAAAAAUAUUAAGAAAUAAGCGAAAGCUUGACUUAGUUAUCAGCAGAUAUGGUCGGUAAAUUUCGUGCCAGCCACCGCGGUUAUACGAAAGACCAGAAACAAUGACCAACGGCGUAAAGAGUGACAAGAGUUUGACCAUUAUUAAAGGAAAACUACAACAAAGUUGUAAAAUGCUCCCGACUGUAAGAACAACAACAAAAACCUGCCUUUAAUCUUCUCCCCUCACGAAAGCUAAGAAACAAACUGGGAUUAGAUACCCCACUAUGCCUAGCCGUAAACAAAAACAGUAACAACACAAUACUGUUCGCCAGAGAACUACAAGCAUAAAACUCAAAACUCCAAGGACUUGGCGGUGCUCCAUAUCACCCUAGAGGAGCCUGUCCUAUAAUCGAUACCCCCCGAUCAACCUCACCAUUUUUUGAAAAACCAGCCUAUAUACCGCCGUCGCCAGCCUACCUUAUGAAAGAGCCAAAGUAGGCAAAAUAGUUAUUAACUAAAACGUCAGGUCAAGGUGUAGCAUAUAAAAUGGAAGAGAUGGGCUACACUCUCUAAUCUAGAGAAAACGAACAGCACAGUGAAACAACUGCUUAAAGGUGGAUUUAGUAGUAAGAUAGGCAAGAGAGCCUCUCUUAAAUAAGCCCUGGAGCGCGCACACACCGCCCGUCACCCUCAUCUAUCAAUACUCCAAACUAAAAAUAUUAAUU